ensembl:lncRNA
GAAGAAAUCCUGAAGCUUCAUGUACUUGUGCUGAUUCUAAAGAGCUCUCUGACCCGAGCAGUGGAUUCUGAAAUCCUGCAUUGUUUUCUGCUUGCUGGAAAUUCUCACUACCUGAAUGGGAGUCUGUAUUAAGAAAUUAAGGGAGAGCUGGAAUUUCUAUUGUGGUUCAUAUGGAUUAACAUAAAAAUAUACUGGGAAUAUAUAUAUAGAAAACAAAUGCAUGUAUUUUUAUUUUAAAUCCAUAAAUAACUGAGCCGCUUUUACCAUGCUUGGUAAUUAAAACAUUCUGAUGUCAUUUGAUUGUAUUUUCCAGAGCAGCUUUUCAUCAGAUUCUCUUUUUCAAUGAGAGUGCUACUACUGACCUGAGAUUUUUUGGAAGAUAUUUGAAGUGACACAAAGAGAUAAACCUCAAACCAGUACAGUCUGGACUGUUUGAGAGCAGCAACAACACCUACAGAGCUCUCAAGAUGACUGAAGACCUUCUCUGAUGCAUCUGAUCCGUGGGGUAGGUACAUUUCAAUGAGAACAUUUCACUCUUUAUUAAAUGAGGCUUUGGGUUUUACAUGAAGUUUGUUAUUGCCUCCAAAAACUGAUAGAGACCAACUGCAAGAUGCAAGCAUGCAAACUGUUCUGUCAUGGCAGCGUGCUGAAAAAUAGCCACAAGCAGCCCCGGUUGGUGUGUCCAGCAGCAGGUGGAUCACACUCCUUCUGUUGGCUUGGCUUCACCCAACAAGAAGGGCUGGGAAGAGGCACAGGCUGUGACACCCUACUCCCCAGCACACCGGAGUUGGAUCCUGCCCUGCUCUCAGAGAACCAGAGAACCUGUGUCUGGUGCUCUUGGGCUGUUGUUCAUAUUGUUUUGGUCUCAGCUGAGCUAUUUCUAACAACGAAAAACAUAUUGGAGAGAGUUACAAUUUGCUGUAAUCAUAUUUUUCCAGUUUUUCUCUGUGAUAAUUACUCCCAUAAAUAUCGUUGCUUUACCUCAGCUCAGCAGAGUGCUCCCUGUCUCUGUGCUCAGCCACAGCCUCCCAGGCCCUUGCUGUGGUGGAAGGAUGAUGGCAGUGUUUGUUAUUGCUGUGACCAACCGAGGUUCCUCCAUCGAGAGAACCCCUUCAGCUCCCCAAUUCUCCCCCUAACCUAGCACCCGAGACCCCCGGAAUUUCCAGGUAACCCUUACCUGCUCCCACAUGACACCGUAGGGCUAAAGACAAAGCAGCUCGAGGCAGCGCUGCACCUGGAGCUGAGUGCUUGCGGUUCAGCCAGGCACCUGCGCUGCUUCCCAUUUCCGCUGCUGGAGAUCUGCCCGUCUCCCACCGCCGGGCCGGGUGGGGACGUAGGUGCGCGGCGGCGGCCCCGUUCAGCCGGA